UAAAACGACUCCGGUAUGCUCCCGUUAUCCAUCUCUACAUUGCCUUCACCAACGUUGUUGUCAUUGUUAUUCUCAUUCUCCCACCCAUUUCUACACUGUUCAUCCUCGGUUCUAACACUAUUAUUGCUGUGGAUGACAGAGGAGGCUCCAAGGAUAACACAAUUAUCAAGAGUGGAUCCAAAAUCAGCUCUCCAUUUCAAUAACACACCAUCAUCUAUCCCCAGCUCACCACUAGGCAAUUCAAUUCUCAGAAACUUGAUCUCAUUGAAAUUCUUCAAAACUUGUGUAGGGGAAUGGUGGGUCACAAAUGUAUGAUCAAAAUCACCAUCAACAUCAUCCGCGGACGCAGAGGCUCCAGCAUGUCGAGAAGAAACAGAGAUGAAUUGGGAAAUGGAUUGGAAGGGUUUAAGAAGGCCAGAGAAAACAAGGCGGAAAAGGGAGGAGAUAGGAUGGCGUGACUUAUCGGAGGUAACGGCGGAAGUAACGGCGUUAGAC
rnacentral:lncRNA from 1 species